AUCAAGCUGACGAGUCCCGAAUAGGACGAAACGCGUGUCCUGGAU
rnacentral:hammerhead_ribozyme from 1 species